rnacentral:rRNA from 1 species
UACGUAGGCAGCGAGCGUUGUUCGGAGUUAUUGGGCGUAAAGGGUGUGUAGGCGGUUCUUUAAGUUUGGUGUGAAAUCUCCCGGCUCAACCGGGAGGGUGCGCCGAAUACUGAGGGACUAGAGUGCGGGAGAGGAAAGUGGAAUUCCUGGUGUAGCGGUGAAAUGCGUAGAUAUCUGGAGGAACACCGGUGGCGAAGGCGGCAUCCUGGACCGGUAUUGACGCUGAGGCGCGAAAGCCAGGGGAGCAAACGGG